rnacentral:rRNA from 1 species
UAAAACUCAAAUGAAUUGACGGGGGCCCGCACAAGCGGUGGAGCAUGUGGUUUAAUUCGAUGCAACGCGAAGAACCUUACCUGGCCUUGACAUAGUAGAGACUUUCCAGAGAUGGAUUGGUGCCUUCGGGAAUCUACAUACAGGUGCUGCAUGGCUGUCGUCAGCUCGUGUCGUGAGAUGUUGGGUUAAGUCCCGCAACGAGCGCAACCCUUUUCCUUACUUGCCAGCAUUUCGGAUGGGAACUUUAAGGAUACUGCCAGUGACAAACUGGAGGAAGGCGGGGACGACGUCAAGUCAUCAUGGCCCUUACGGCCAGGGCUACACACGUGCUACAAUGGUCGGUACAAAGGGUUGCUACACAGCGAUGUGAUGCUAAUCUCAAAAAGCCGAUCGUAGUCCGGAUCGCAGUCUGCAACUCGACUGCGUGAAGUCGGAAUCGCUAGUAAUCGCGGAUCAGAAUGC